ACCGAUUGAUUCUGUCGGUGGUUUUUGCUUGAACUUAAGAUUAAGCCAUGUAUGUGUGAGAAUGACUGCUAAUAUGCAGUAAUCGGCGAACGGCUCCGUAAAACAGUUAUAAUGCUCUCGAAAAAGUGAGGACUCGUCCUCUAGAUGGACAAUCUUGGGAACUCUAAGAAUAAUACAUGCACCGGAGCAAUCCGGAAGGGGUGCUUGCACCCUUGCAUCGAUGCGAGUUAGACGACAUUGUAGUUGAAACAGCAUCGAGUUAAUUAUGCGCACGCAGAGCUUGCUCUGCGGGUAACGAGGCAAUUUCUGACCUAUCAACUGUGGAUGGUAGUAUCGAGGACUACCAUGGUUGUAACGGGUGACAGGGGAUGAGGGUCCGAUUCUGGAGAGGCCGCAAUUAGAAACGGCGACCAGUUCUAAGGAGUGCAACAGGCGCGCAAAUUACCCAAUGCCACAACGGCGAGGUAGUGACAGUUAAUAACAAUACGGAGGACCAUAGUUGUCAAUCGUGAUUGGAAUGAGUGGGAUUUAGUUUGAACCCAUCGAGAAGCAACAAAGAGGGAAAGUCUGGUGCCAGCAGCCGCGGUAAUUCCAGCUCUUUUAGUGAAUGCUUUUAGUGUUGCAGUUAAAAAGCUCGUAGUUGGAUGUUCUGGGGGGUACAAGGGGGUCGCAGUCACAUCUUUUGGCCGCCCCCACCCCCCGUAAAGUUGGGGACGAGCUUAAUUGUUCGACCUCAUAAUUAACUGUGAAUAAAAUCGAGUGCUCAAGACAAGGCUUACUGCCUAUUGACGAUCAUUAGCAUGGGACUAUGGAAAAAGUCCGGGGCGGGAGCGUUGUCUCUUCCGUUUACCCUGGACAUGAUUAAAAGGGAUGGUUUGGGUGAUCCGUAUUAACUGGGGAGGGGUGAAAUCCUUUAAUCCAAUUAAGACGAACAGAUGCGAAAGCGUUUCACAGGGACAUUUUCAUUAAUCAAGAACUAAAGUAGGGGGAGCGAAGAUGAUCAGAUACCAUUGUAGUCCCUACCAUAAACGAUGUCGACCAAGGAUGGGGAGGGGGGAAACCCCGGAGCGGUUCGCUGCUCUGGGGACCCCUCGACGAUUAUGCGGGUCUUCGGACCCCAACUUUUGAUGUCUCUCUCUGUACUUUGUUGGGAAACCAUUGAGUUCUUGGAUUCUUGGGGGAGUAUGGUCGCAAGGCUGAAACUUAAAGAAAUUGACGGAAGGGCACUACCAGGAGUGGAGCUUGCGGUUUAAUUUGACCCAACGCAGAAAAACUUACCCGGACAGGACACAAGAAUGAUUGACUGGUUGAAGACCUUUCUUGAUUUUGUGGGUGGUGGUGCAUGGCCGUUUUCAGUUGGUGGAGUGAUCUGUCUGCUUUAUUGCGAUAACGAACGAGACCUUAACCUAUUAAAUAGUUGUGGGGAU
rnacentral:rRNA from 1 species